GAUGAACGCUGGCGGCGUGCCUAAUACAUGCAAGUCGAGCGAACGGACGAGAAGCUUGCUUCUCUGAUGUUAGCGGCGGACGGGUGAGUAACACGUGGAUAACCUACCUAUAAGACUGGGAUAACUUCGGGAAACCGGAGCUAAUACCGGAUAAUAUUUUGAACCGCAUGGUUCAAAAGUGAAGACGGUCUUGCUGUCACUUAUAGAUGGAUCCGCGCUGCAUUAGCUAGUUGGUAAGGUAACGGCUUACCAAGGCAACGAUGCAUAGCCGACCUGAGAGGGUGAACGGCCACACUGGAACUGAGACACGGUCCAGACUCCUACGGGAGGCAGCAGUAGGGAAUCUUCCGCAAUGGGCGAAAGCCUGACGGAGCAACGCCGCGUGAGUGAUGAAGGUCUUCGGAUCGUAAAACUCUGUUAUUAGGGAAGAACAUAUGUGUAAGUAACUGUGCACAUCUUGACGGUACCUAAUCAGAAAGCCACGGCUAACUACGUG
rnacentral:rRNA from 1 species